AUGACACAUCUCCAACAGCUGAGCCCCCAUCCACUAGUGGUGCAUGGACAUAAUGUAUUUUCUCAAGACCAUCGUGAUUGGUCGAUGCUUCUGAAUCAUUUUGACCACGUCAGCAUUCUUAAUCUCGGGCUUUACUAUAUGCCGGUCAUAGGUUACGGCCAAUUCUUGAUGAAAGAGAUGACAAAGUUUCCUAACAUUACCAUCUUGAAGCUGGAAGUACUAGCAUGUGGACAUUCCUUUGGAGCCAGCUCGUUCCAUCUUCUAAGGAUGUCUAGUGGUAUAAGAGAGCUGAAGCUUAAACUUCUUGACAUGCCGAGGGGACUGGAGGGACAAAUUGCGUGCCGAUCAGGUUGCAGGUGUGUUGAGCCAUCAAACUGGGAAACCAAGGAACUCGUGCUCCGUUGCCUUGAAGAAAUAGAGAUCGAUGGCUUUAUAGGAACUGAACAUGAACUCGCUCUGGUGAGAAGGUUAUUCAAGUGGACAACAAUGUUAAAGAGGAUGACAGUACAUUUCAAUGACUCGGUCACUCAAAGCAAGGGGAAAGAGCUUUGCCAGCUGUUACUGAGCUUCUCUACGCCAGAAAUAUGUAUGAAAUUUCUGCACUAA
rnacentral:rRNA from 1 species